GAUGAACGCUGGCGGCGUGCCUAAUACAUGCAAGUCGAGCGAACGGACGAAAAGCUUGCUUCUCUGAUGUUAGCGGCGGACGGGUGAGUAGCACGUGGAGAACCUACCUAUAAGACUGGGAUAAAUUCGGGAAAACGGAGCUAAUACCGGAUAAUAUUUUGAACCGCAUGGUUCAAAAGUGAAAGACGGUCUUGCUGUCACUUAUAGAUGGAUCCGCGCUGCAUUAGCUAGUUGGUAAGGUAACGGCUUACCAAGGCAACGAUGCAUAGCCGACCUGAGAGGGUGCUCGGCCACACUGGAACUGAGACACGGUCCAGACUCCUACGGGAGGCAGCAGUAGGGAAUCUUCCGCAAUGGGCGCAAGCCUGACGGAGCAACGCCGCGUGAGUGAUGAAGGUCUUCGGAUCGUAAAACUCUGUUAUUAGGGAAGAACAUAUGUGUAAGUAACUGUGCACAUCUUGACGGUACCUAAUCAGAAAGCCACGGCUAACUACGUG
rnacentral:rRNA from 1 species